rnacentral:rRNA from 2 species
UGGGGAAUAUUGCGCAAUGGGGGAAACCCUGACGCAGCAACGCCGCGUGAAGGAUGAAGGUUUUCGGAUUGUAAACUUCUUUGAUGAGGGACGAAGAAAAUGACGGUACCUCAAAAACAAGCCACGGCUAACUACGUGCCAGCAGCCGCGGUAAUACGUAGGUGGCGAGCGUUGUCCGGAAUUACUGGGUGUAAAGGGCGUGUAGGCGGGGAGACAAGUCAGAUGUGAAAUACCGAAGCUUAACUUCGGGGCUGCAUCUGAAACUGUUUUUCUUGAGUGUCGGAGAGGAAAGCGGAAUUCCCAGUGUAGCGGUGAAAUGCGUAGAUAUUGGGAGGAACACCAGUGGCGAAGGCGGUCGCCUGGCCCAAUACUGACGCUGAGGCUCGAAAGCUAGGGGAGCAAACAGG